rnacentral:tRNA from 1 species
GCCGGUAUAGCUCAGUUGGUAGAGCAGCUGAUUUGUAAUCAGCAGGUCACGGGUUCGAAUCCCCUUGCCGGCA